GUGAGGAAUAUUGCGCAAUGGAGGCAACUCUGACGCAGCCAUGCCGCGUGCAGGAAGAAGGCGCUACGCGUUGUAAACUGCUUUUAACCGGGAAGAAACCCCAGGACGUGUCCUGGGUUGACGGUACCGGAGGAAUAAGCACCGGCUAACUUCGUGCCAGCAGCCGCGGUAAUACGAAGGGUGCAAGCGUUAUCCGGAUUCAUUGGGUUUAAAGGGUGCGUAGGCGGAGCGUUAAGUCAGUGGUGAAAUCCUGCAGCUUAACUGUAGACUGGCCAUUGAUACUGGCGCUCUUGAGUGCGCUUGAAGUGGGCGGAAUGUGCCGUGUAGCGGUGAAAUGCUUAGAUAUGGCACAGAACACCAAUUGCGAAGGCAGCUCACUAAGGCGAUACUGACGCUGAGGCACGAAAGCGUGGGGAUCGAACAGGAUUAGAAACCCCGGUAGUCC
rnacentral:rRNA from 1 species